rnacentral:snRNA from 1 species
GACAGGGGAGACACCAUGAUUAAGAUGAUGGUUUUCCUAGGCUGAGACUCACUCCUUGCACAUCGACCUUCCUAUUUCCUCCAGUGCAGGAGACUCCACUGCAUAAUUUGUGGUAGUGGAGGACUGCAUUUAUGCUGUCUCCUG